GCUAAAAAUCUAGCUUAACUACAGAAUUAAAUUUAAUAACAGUAAAAAUUUUAACACAACCACAACCAAUUAAUUAAAACAUUCUACCGCCUAAGUAUGUGAGACAGAAAGGGCACAUCAAGCUAUAAUAAAAGUACCGCAAGGGAAAGAUGAAAAAGAAAUGAAAUAAAGCAUUAAAGCACAAUAAAGCAGAGAUUAACACUCGUACCUUUUGCAUCAUGAUUUAGCCAGCCACCCUGAGCAAAGUGUACUUUAGUUCAAGACCCCGAAACUAAGUGAGCUACCCCGAGGCAGCCUAUUAAUUAGGGCCAACCCGUCUCUGUGGCAAAAGAGUGGGAAGACCUCCGGGUAGGGGUGACAGACCUACCGAACUUAGUUAUAGCUGGUUGCCCAAGAAAUAAAUAGAAGUUUAGCCUCGCACUCCUUACUUCACUCACUACCAAAUUAACCAAGAUCUAAAGAAAAAUGCGAGAGUUAGUCAAAAGAGGGACAGCUCUUUUGAAACAGGACACAACCUUACUUAGGCGGUUAAAGAUUAUAUUAAACAAGACAAACCGCCUCAGUGGGCCUAAAAGCAGCCACCUGCAUAGAAAGCGUUAAAGCUCAAGCAAAUUUAAGUCUAUUAUCCUAAUACUUUAUCUAAAACCCCUUAACUUUACUGGGCCACUCCAUGCCCCCAUGGAAGAGAUACUGCUAAAAUGAGUAAUAAGAAGGCACCCCCCUUCUCCCCGUCCACGUGUAUGCUAGACAGGACCUCCCGCUAGCAAUUACCGAACCCAGUCAAAGAGGGAAAUGUGACUACAUCAACAAAUCAAGAAAUAAUCACAAACUACUAAUCGUUAAUCCCACACAGGAGGACAUACAGGGAAAGAUUAAAAAAAGAGGAAGGAACUCGGCAAACACUAAGCCUCGCCUGUUUACCAAAAACAUCGCCUCCUGCAACCCUACGUAUAGGAGGUCUUGCCUGCCCAGUGAUAAAUUAAACGGCCGCGGUAUUCUGACCGUGCGAAGGUAGCGCAAUCACUUGUCCUUUAAAUGAGGACCCGUAUGAAUGGUGGAACGAGGGCUUAACUGUCUCCCCCUUUAAAUCAAUGAAAUUGAUCUGCCCGUGCAGAAGCGGACAUAAUGAUACAAGACGAGAAGACCCUUUGGAGCUUAAGAUAAAAACUAAUUACGUUAAGAGCCCAAUAAACUCUAGCUAAACCAAGUAACAAUAGUUUAUCAUCUUCGGUUGGGGCGACCACGGAAGAAAGACAAUCUUCCAUGCGGACUGGGCACAUACCCUAAAACUAAGAGGGACACCUCUAAGUCACAGAACAUCUGACCAUAAUUGAUCCGGCCUAAGGCCGACCAACGAACCAAGUUACCCUAGGGAUAACAGCGCAAUCCCCUUUCAGAGUCCAUAUCGACAAGGGGGUUUACGACCUCGAUGUUGGAUCAGGACAUCCUAAUGGUGCAGCCGCUAUUAAGGGUUCGUUUGUUCAACGAUUAAAGUCCUACGUGAUCUGAGUUCAGACCGGAGCAAUCCAGGUCAGUUUCUAUCUGUAAAUGCAUUUUUUCCUAGUACGAAAGGACCGGAAAAAAGAGGCCUAUGUUUAAAAUACGCCCUACCUCCACUGUAUGAUAUCGACUAAAUACAAUAAGGAGAAGCACAAAUAAUUUAUCAAGACUAGAUU
rnacentral:rRNA from 1 species